rnacentral:siRNA from 1 species
CAACGAGUUCACACUUUGGCCGAC